AUUGAACGCUGGCGGCAUGCCUUACACAUGCAAGUCGAACGGCAGCACGGACUUCGGUCUGGUGGCGAGUGGCGAACGGGUGAGUAAUAUAUCGGAACAUACCUUGUAGUGGGGGAUAACUAUCCGAAAGGAUAGCUAAUACCGCAUACGCUCUAAGGAGGAAAGUGGGGGAUCGCAAGACCUUAUGCUAUAAGAGUGGCCGAUAUCUGAUUAGCUAGUUGGUGAGGUAAAGGCUCACCAAGGCAACGAUCAGUAGCUGGUCUGAGAGGACGACCAGCCACACUGGAACUGAGACACGGUCCAGACUCCUACGGGAGGCAGCAGUGGGGAAUAUUGCACAAUGGGCGCAAGCCUGAUGCAGCCAUGCCGCGUGUAUGAAGAAGGCCUUCGGGUUGUAAAGUACUUUCAGCGGGGAGGAAGGCGAUGUGGUUAAUAACCGCGUCGAUUGACGUUACCCGCAGAAGAAGCACCGGCUAACUCCGUGCCAGCAGCCGCCGUAA
rnacentral:rRNA from 1 species